AUUUUGAAACAAAUACCCGGACUUUAUUUCUUUCUAUUAUUGAGUUUUCACAGAUCGACUUUUAACCAUAGUUAGUUAAUUCGCGAAUUAUUCGCGAAUUAUUGAAAAUCUGAAUAAAACGGUUCAUAUGCGAUUUAUUCCCAAAAAUUCGGAAUAAAAUGCGAAUUUUUUGCUUAAAUUUAUUAUUCGCGAAUAAUUCGCAUAUGCCGAACUAUUCGGCCAAAAUAAUGCGCAAAGUUUUUUGGAUAACAUGAAUUAUUGAAAAACUUUAUAAACUUUCAAAAUAUGUGGAUCAUAAAAAAAAUGGAAAUGGAAAUGAC
rnacentral:lncRNA from 1 species